rnacentral:rRNA from 1 species
UACGAAGGGUGCAAACGUUGCUCGGAAUUAUUGGGCGUAAAGCGCACGUAGGCGGCUUAGCAAGUCGGAUGUGAAAUCCCUCGGCUCAACCAAGGAAGUGCAUUCGAAACUGACAGUCUUGAGUAUGGAAGAGGGUCGCGGAAUUCCCGGUGUAGAGGUGAAAUUCGUAGAUAUCGGGAGGAACACCAGUGGCGAAGGCGGCGACCUGGGCCAAUACUGACGCUGAGGUGCGAAAGCGUGGGGAGCAAACAGG